AUUGAACGCUGGCGGCAUGCUUUACACAUGCAAGUCGAACGGCAGCACGGGCUUCGGCCUGGUGGCGAGUGGCGAACGGGUGAGUAAUGCAUCGGAACGUACCCAUUUGUGGGGGGAUAACUACGCGAAAGCGUGGCUAAUACCGCAUACGCCCUGAGGGGGGAAANCGGGGGGAUUCUUCGGAACCUCGCGCAAUUGGAGCGGCCGAUGUCAGAUUAGCUUGUUGGUGAGGUAAAAGGCUCACCAAGGCGACGAUCUGUAGCGGGUCUGAGAGGAUGAUCCGCCACACUGGGACUGAGACACGGCCCAGACUCCUACGGGAGGCAGCAGUGGGGAAUUUUGGACAAUGGGCGAAAGCCUGAUCCAGCCAUGCCGCGUGAGUGAAGAAGGCCUUCGGGUUGUAAAGCUCUUUCGGCUGGGAAGAAAUCGCACAGGCUAAUACUCUGUGUGGAUGACGGUACCAGCACAAGAAGCACCGGCUAACUACGUG
rnacentral:rRNA from 1 species